AAUCCCCUGCUGUGUUCGACAGGACAUUCAUUCCUUGAACCAAUAUUUUGGCAUUGAGGUUGCCGAACAUGGCGUCGUCGUUGUGCGUGUUCCUUGCGAACGCGCCUGAAGCGGCCUGCAGGCGACCGACUUGAACCUCAGGUUCAGGAUGCCGGUCCUGACGGCACGAGCGGGGGACCC
rnacentral:other from 1 species